rnacentral:misc_RNA from 1 species
AAUACGAAAUCUUCAGUAGCUGUUAAGGAUCUGUUUCGACUGAAAAACGUCAUUUUUAUUAUUUUAUCAGCCUAUGUACAUCUGGAACUUACUGAAAAUUUCUUCCUUUGUUUAAUCGAAGUAAGUAGAUUAGAUAUAUUUUCAGAUAUGUAUUAGUAUUGAUCUGUUUGAGUUAUUAAAUUUUAAUAAGAUAUGUUAGGAAUGUGAAUCAUAGGUAGAUCGAACACGAUUCAUUUAAAUAGCUUUCAAAUUACUAAUAUAUUGUUCAAUUCGGUAGUUACUUUAUAAUUGAUAACUUAAAGAGGCGAUGAAAAUGUCGGCUUUCGAUAACAGGUGUCAUAAAACUUGUUGUCUAUAGUUUUAAUCCAGUACUGGGCCUACAACUCGGCUUGUAUAGGAGUGUAAAACCGCCUACGAAAAAAAUAGUUUAUGAAUAGAAUUUAGAGGCAAAUAAACUUAUUCAAAAACCGUAUGAACGAUGUUUGCUUAGUGGAACAUUGCCGGCACAGUCUUUAUAUUCUCAGACUUAUACAAUAUGUGACUCGGCACCUCUCGGCGCAGGAUGUCGUCAGUAUAGUAUACAACAAUUAAAAUAGCUUGCUUUUGUUGUGGCGAAAUAUUUUUUCCAAGACCAUAGUAGUCCUAUAAUCUUGAGCACAUAAAUAUACAAGGAUGAAUGAAGAAACUAAUAUCCAAAAAACCGGGCGACAGUUUAGGAUUACUGCUCCUGAAGAUUUACAGGAAGAGGCAAGAAAAACUAUUGCGGUCAUGGAAGAGCAGAAGCAAGUCAAAGCCCUUAUGACCAACGACAAUGAUUGGGCAGCUAGUUUGGGCAACUGGAAAAUGAAAAUGAGACGAAAAUCCACAACAAAAACUUUAGAGGAGGAAGAGCAUGGCGAAGAAUUACCAAAUAAACAAUCAAGCAAAACAUUUGAUCAUAUAAUAAAAACAAAUAGAAUACGAAAUAUGUAUCCCUAUGGUGAUGAGAUAGAAAGUGAGCAACCAAAAAAGAAAAGUGAACCUGAGGUGAUAAAUAAAGAUGAAAUACCUGAUUGGGAUGGAGGAUUUGAAAAAAAAGAAGAGAAGAAAGUGUGGAAGCCAAAGGUGCCGUUUCAACCAUCUAAACCUGAAGAAAAAAAGCCAAAAGCGUCUACGAAAUACUCAUCCCCAAAAUCCUCAGUUCGGAGUGUGUUUUUAAAGGAUGAUUCGCCAAAAACCAAUUAUGGAUUUACUACUGCGGAAGACACUUUUUCGGGAUCCCCGAAUAAAUUCUCAGAUAGUUCAGUUGUCAAAAAUGAAGUGCCAAUCACUUCUCUAAAGAAUAAUGUUUUAUCUAAGGAACCACCUAGCAGCCCAAGAAAUGGACAUAAACACCCACCUGUGACACCCCGUGGUAAGGGGAAUGUUUCAGCCAAAGGGAAAUUCUUUGAAGAAAAAUUUAAAGAGCAGCCCUCAUCAUCACCCCCUCCCGUUCAACCUAAACCAAUUGAAACUUCGCCCUACCGCUUUUCUAUUGAUAAACAAACAUCAGAUGAUGAACCUCGUCUAAUUCGACGAGGAUCUCCUGACUCUGGAAUUGAUGGAGGUGCUAAUUUUGGUGGUUCAUCCACACCUGGAUCUGUUAAAACGACAGAUGAUUAUGUUGAUCUAUCAGAAGCUAAUAUGGCCGAAUUAAAAAGAUCAAAAUUAAACUCUUCUCCAAAAAAUGGAGCAGGCGAAAAGCUUUUUCACGAAAAGAAUAUUAGAAUCAAUUUAAACGGAAUAACUACUAAAAAGUUUGGCUUCACUUUAAGAGGCGGCAGAGAGGAUAAUCAACCUUUACAUAUAGGAAAGGUGCAAAUGGGGUCUGCAGCAGAUAUUAAUGAAUUAGAAGAAGGUGAUGAACUCGUGACUGUUAAUAAUAAACCCGUAGCAGAUCGUAAUAGGAAUUCCAUCGAAGAUCUGAUCUCAUCUAUCGAAAAGGAGAAUUCCCCAUCAGUAACCCUAACUAUAAGACGUUCUAUGUCUAAAGACGAAAUGUGCGCGUUUUCCGAUUCGGAAGAAGGCAGCAUGGUGGAACAUAAUAUAAGUGAAACAGAGCACCAACAAGAGGUUGCUCACUUAUCUUCAACCGAUCAAAUCCCGCGUCAAGAUGAAUGUCGGGAUUCAGUCAAGAAUCCCGUCGCUGAAAGCGACGUCAUUGUUGAAGAGGAUGACAUUGAGGAGCCUCCUCUACCUGAUACCCUACCGCCAGAGCCUGAUUGGUCAACUAUGCCGCAAAGAAAAUUGUCAAAUGCCUCCUUAGAGGACCUUCUUCCCGAUCCAGUUGUUGAAGAGUCUCAGCCGCCGUUAUCGAUUAAAGAAGAAAUGCUUAAGAAAAAAUCCUUUUUCUUGGGUAGACCUAUUGAUCAGUUACAAGAAUACGCUCAAUUAAAGACUAUCAAUAGCACGGCCGAUCGCGACUGUGUUCCGUGUUUUGACAAGUCAAUUAUUCAAUCUUCUUCAAUUGUUGAUGACCUUUUAAAAAAGAGACCAGAAGAGAAAACUUGGCCCUCGCCACCUCCCGCACCUGAAAAGACACCGGCCGAAACACUUUAUAACUAUAUUGACGAAGAGCCUCCUCCGUUCAAAGAGAAACCAAAUAUGAUGUUUCAAGAACAGAAACGCUCAACUCUCCCAAGAGACUUCGGUAGUGAUCGAUAUUCCACCUGGAACGAUAAGAAAAGCCGUAAAGAGUCAGUAGGUGACGAAAUUGAAGAAAUGAUAAGUCACGCUCAAGACGCCUUAGGUUCAGAGAGGAAUAGGACUUUCAUGGAAGAGUUAUCUGAACACAAUAAACCUGCAAGUUACCCACCAAAAAGUUCAAUGCCUGAAAAUGAGCGCCAUAACGAAAAACAAAUGAAGGAACCGAAACAUACCCCUUUCCGAAGACAAUUUGUUGAUGAAGAUUUUACACGUAAACCUCAACCCAGUCAAUCAAAUCUCCCAGAGUAUAAACUAGAAUCUAGCGAUUUCACAUCACCUAAACUAUCAGGAAUAGGACGAAUAAAUGAGACUGUAGAUAGAAGCAAGCAACCAAAGCAGCUAUUUCCAUCAAAGAGAUCUUUUGAAGUUCAAACUGACAGAAAAAAAAUGCCAAUGCCUUAUAGACCUGAAGCUCGACACUUACAAGCAUCCUCAUCUGAUUCUCAACUGUCUUCUAGAGAUACAUACACUGUGAGAAGAGAGGAAGACCCCCGUGAGAAAGUUCAUAAACUGAAACUGCAAGACGAAGCUAAAGAGUCAAAAUUUAGAGUAAAACGUGACAACGAUAAUAUAGAAAAAAAGGAUGGAUUUCAAUCUUUCUCAGAUGUUCCUACUUCAUACUCAAGUUCACGCGAGAUACCAAAAAAGCGUUAUGAAAACAUACCUUUUGAACAACAACGUCCACCAAUAGCAUCUGCAUUUUCUUACUCUACAUCAGAGUUAAGCUCUCUACCAAAAAAUAUCAAAGCUGGCCAUCAAGUUUCUCGUUCCGUUGAUUUGUCUUUUCCUUCUCAAAGAUCUUUAGAUGAUCACUAUCGAAGACAAUCAAAUGCGUCAGACUACGGCCAGUCAUUAAAUAAUAAUUUUAGACAAGAGGAGGAAAAGCAGCCACCAAAACUUUCGAAUUGGUCUAAACCAAAACCUUUACCACCAAGCUUUCGAUCAUAUAAUCCUCCUUCUCCUACUCGUUCCGAUGGACCGGCAAGAAUUCCUUGCGUAAGCGCUCAGGAGAAAUGCCAAGGUUGUGGGGAGGUCUUAGGCUCCGGAGCAGCAAUGCUUAUUGAGUCUUUAGGAUUACAUUAUCAUUUGAACUGCUUCAUUUGCAGUGUUUGUAGAGAACAGUUGGCCUCAGGAUACGAUAAAGGUGCAGAUGUUCGGGUUAGAGGGAAAAAAUUACACUGUCAAGACUGCUAUUCUAAUGAACAAGGUAUUUGA